rnacentral:rRNA from 1 species
AAUCAACGCUGGCGGCGUGCCUAACACAUGCAAGUCGAACGCGAAAGUCCCGCAAGGGAUGAGUAGAGUGGCAAACGGGUGAGUAACACGUGGGUGACCUGCCUUCGAGCGGGGGAUAACGUCCCGAAAGGGACGCUAAUACCGCAUGACAUCCUGCCUUUGAAGAGGUGGAGAUCAAAGCUGGGGAUCGCAAGACCUAGCACUUGAAGAGGGGCCCNCGUCNGAUUAGCUAGUUGGUGGGGUAACGGCUCACCAAGGCAACGAUCAGUAUCCGGCCUGAGAGGGCGGACGGACACAC